GGGGCAAGGUGGUCCUUUGUAGUUAGACUUUUCUGUGAACAUAAGGGUGGUGGGAUUUCCUAACCAUUAAAAAGGUGCUAUUUCGGCCAGGCAUGGUGGCUCACACUUGUAAUCCCAGCACUUUGGGAGGCCGAGGAGGGUGGAUCACGAGGCUGGUCUCGAACUGCUGACCUCAUGAUCCUCCUGCCUCAGCCUCCCAAAGUGCUGGGAUUACAGACAUGAGCCACCGUGCCCGGCCAAUUGUAGAAUAUUUUCAUUACCCCCCAAAGAAACCUCAUACCUAUUAACAGUCAUUUUCCAUUUUCCCAUUGCCUUUUCAUAGGCAAUUGCUAAUCUGUUCUUGCCUCUAUAGAUUUGCCUAUUCUGGACGUUUCAUAUAAAUUAAAUUAUUCAUUAUGUGAUCAUCUUUUGUGACUGACUUCUUUCACUUUGCAUAACGUUUUCAAGGUCUAUCCAUUCUAGCAUGCAUCAAUACUUCCUUUCUUUUUAUUGCUGAAUUAUACUCCAUUGUAUACCAUAUUUUGUUUAUCCAUUCAUCAGCUGGUGGACAUUUGGGUUGUUUCUCCUUUUUUGUUAUAAUGAAUGGUAUUGCUAAUAAACAUUCAGGUACAAAUUUUUGUGUGAACAUAUGUUUUCAGUUCUUUUGGCCAUGGACCUAGGAGUGGAAUUGAUGGAUCCAAUAGUAACUCUAUGUUUAAUCUUUUGAGGAACUGCCAAACUGUUUUCCAAAGCAGCUGUACCAUUUUACAUUUCCACCAGCAAUAUGAGGGUUCCAAUUUCUCCAUAUUUUUGCCAACACUUGGGUUUUUAAACAUUUUUAUUAUAGUGUAGGGGCAGAAAAGUGUGAUACCUUUCCUCACCCAUCAUAAGGCACAUGGCCAACACUGAUAACAAAAGAAAGGUUAACAAGAGAAAAGCAUAACAAAUUUAUUUAAUCAAAGUUUUAUGUGACACAGGAGUCUUCAGAAAUGAAGGCCCAACAACUUAGGGAAAACCAUUUAUUUUUUGCUUAGGUUUGAUUAAGAAGGGACAGCCUUAUAGAAAUGUGAUUGGACAAAGAGGUACAAGCGAAUGGGAAUAGACUGAGGGGGAAAACCCAGCAAGGCUUGUCCAGAUUCGUCUUGGCCUUUCUGUGGAGCCUCACUCUACCCUUCCCAGGUGUGGGGCAAGACUCCCCUGGAAUAAGGGCCUUCAAGGGAGAAAGGAGAGAGUGACAUUUCUAGGUUUUAUGGCUUGCUUUUGGAGAGAGGGUCUCUGGUUUCUAUGACUCACCUUAGAAGAAGAAUUCUCCUUUCUAUAACUCCCUUUAGGAGGAGAAAGAAGGGCAGGAGACAGGAGGAUGGGAGAAGGUCAGAGAGAUCUUUCUUCUGAGAUCCUUCCAAGUUCUUUAGUUCCAAGUACUUGGCAUGCUGUUGAGACUCAGAAAACAAUACCCCAAGAAGAAGACCUCAGCAGCAAAGGGCCUUGUUGUCUGGGGUAAAUACCUGGGGUCCGUCAUCUGGCGUCAAGAAGAUAAAGGACACAGACACACGUGAAGAGUGAGUUUAGGAGCAGAGGUUUAACAGGCAAAAGAAAGAGAAAGAAGAGCAGCUCUUCCUCUUGUGAGGAAGAGGAGGCAUCUGAAAGGGAAAAGUCGGCCCAUGGGGGACUGUGCCGGAUUUUAUAGACAGGCUUGAGGAGGGGGUGUCUGAUUUACAUAGGGCCCACAGAUUGGUUGGACCAGGUGUGACGUUUGCAUAGCUCGCAGGGAAGGCUGGUCACCCCACCCUAAUUUUAUUAUGCAAAUUGAGUCUUUCCCUGGCUGGCACCAUAUUAUCUUUUCCUUACUGUACACAUGGUUUGGCAAAGAUAAGCCGCCAUUUUGAACAUGGCUAGUCCCAGGUAGCCUUUGCCUAUUAGCACAACUGCUGGCACUCACCUGUACAAGCUUCCAUCCUGUCUAUGUCUGCAGCUCAAUUUUACAGGCUGCUCUUUGUUAGAAGAGAAUGAUUUGGGGGCUGCUUUCCAUUAAAAGGAAAUCCUUACUGAGGUUUCCUGUACCCUCACUAUCUGCCUAAGUAAUUUCUUCUUAACUUCUAUAUCAGCAGCAACCUCAGAAGCAAAAAGUUUCUUCUGACCUUCUCAUGCUCUCCUGUCUCUCAGUCCCAUUCUCCCCAGAGGCCAGCCAUAGAAACUAGAAUCCCUCUUCCCCAAGGCGGGUCAUCAAAAUCAGAACCCUUUUCCCCAGAGCUAGUCAUAAAACCUAAAAAUAUUACUCUAAUUUACUCCAGUUAUCACCAAAAUAAUUAGAUAAUAUGGAAAUUAUCAAAUAUUACUCUAAUUUCCUCCACCUUUCCAUGUAAAAACUGGUCAUAAAGAAAUCAUCUGGGCCAGGCGUGGUGGUGGCUUACUCCUAUAAUCCAAGCAGUUUGGGAGGCUGAGGUGAGACUGUCUCAAAAAAAAAAAAAAAA
ensembl:lncRNA